rnacentral:lncRNA from 1 species
AUGGCUCCAUUGUCUGAGACCUUCUUCAAUCACAUCCCUGUUACCGUGCAGACGAGUGCAUUUCUGGCCUGGGAACCCUGUCUCCCAGGCAACCCGGCUCGCUCACAAAAACAUACCACUUCGCAGAAGAGCACAUUAGAAUUAAAUAUAAAACCAAGGCUUUUCCAUCUUUCUCCAUGUGUUUGGGCUACGCCGACUUUAUUUACAGAGUCGCUGAGGCCAAGGAAGACAUCCCUUCUCGGGGGACAACCGCCUGUGCUGAGCAAAACAGCGGGAAGAAAAGGCUCUCAGACACGGUCAGAAGGAAAAAAGCAAGAGCUGGAGAACCACACCACGUAGAAGACGAACAGCAACUGCCUCCCUUCUCUUUUUAAUGUAAGAUAUCUUGUACAUACAAGAGAGUAGGUCGUGUAGGCUCAGCUUGAAAAAUAUGUAUAAAGCAAAUACCCUUGGAACCAUCAUCAAAGUCAGACACACAUCAGGGCCAGGGUCUCAGAGGCCCAUCCCCCGUGAGCCCCUCCUGGUCACAGUUUCACGGGAGCAGACGUUGGGGGUGGGGUGGAGAGGAGAGGACCCAGGAGCAGGGAGGUGACGUGCUGGGAGGCGAGAGCAGGGGCGGGUGGCAAUGGCCAAGUGGGUUUUUAAGGACAGAAAGCCUAGUGCUGGUGUUUUAGUUACCUGGGGUUAUAAGGUAGGCUUUUUUCGCCUGUAAGCCUCCAUUUCCAACAGAACGUGUUUAUGUAUCUGGCAGUGGGGCGGGGGGGCGCAGAGGGAAAUGGAAGCGACGGGUCCGUCCCAGGUUUGGGCUGAUCCUGCGGCAGAGACCAGGGAGUAUCCCAAGAUGCCGAGAGGAAAAGGAAAAUUCAAAGGACACUGCGCCUCAGAGUUGGGGGAGAACUCGGACACCCCAUGGGGACGUCCAUCCCAGGGAUUCUCCCCACACUUGCAUCCUGACCUCAACUUCCACAUGGGUCCUGUUCCUUGUCCAGGAGACGGGAGCCCAGGAAAGCCCAGGGAAGGAAAAGCAUAAGGGAAAAGGCACAUCCUCCCUCCCUCCCUUCCUUCCCUCCCUCCUUCCUUCCCUCCCUCUCUCGUGUGUUGCAUGCCAGGCGCUGUGAUAGGAGGACUGGGGGNGUGUGUGUUGCAUGCCAGGCGCUGUGAUAGGAGGACUGGGGGUUCCAGUGGGUUGUUCUUGCUGGGGGAGGGGUCUGUGCUCCAGCACUUCUCCCAGCCCCUCCCUUGGGCCUUUGUGGGGAGGGUGUGGGUGACACUUCAGGAGGACGCUCCCCUUUGCCCUUUUGGGGCCUUUGAGCAGCGUAUUUGAGACCUAUGGGAAGUG